rnacentral:rRNA from 1 species
UACAGAGGUCCCAAGCGUUUGUUCGGAUUCACUGGGCGUAAAGGGUGCGUAGGUGGCGAGGUAAGUUUGAUGUGAAAUCUCCGGGCUUAACCCGGAAACUGCAUUGAAUACUAUCUUGCUCGAGGUUUGGAGGGGGGACUGGAAUUCUCGGUGUAGCAGUGAAAUGCGUAGAUAUCGAGAGGAACACCAGUGGCGAAGGCGGAGUCCCCUGGACAAACACCUGACACUGAGGCACGAAAGCUAGGGGAGCAAACAGG